CCUCCCACCCGUGUUUACUGUAACCUUAGUUGCUUCGGCGGGCCCGCCUUUAAGGCCGCCGGGGGGCAUCAGCCCCCGGGCCCGCGCCCGCCGGAGACACCACGAACUCUGUCUGAUCUAGUGAAGUCUGAGUUGAUUGUAUCGCAAUCAGUUAAAACUUUCAACAAUGGAUCUCUUUGUUCUGGCAUCGAUGAAGAACGCCGCGAAAUGCGAUAACUAGUGUGAAUUGCAGAAUUCCGUGAAUCAUCGAGUCUUUGAACGCACAUUGCGCCCCCUGGUAUUCCGGGGGGCAUGCCUGUCCGAGCGUCAUUGCUGCCCAUCAAGCACGGCUUGUGUGUUGGGUCGUCGUCCCCUCUUCGGGGGGGACGGGCCCCAAAGGCAGCGGCGGCACCGCGUCCGAUCCUCGAGCGUAUGGGGCUUUGUCACCCGCUCUGUAGGCCCGGCCGGCGCUUGCCGAACGCAAAACAACCA
rnacentral:rRNA from 1 species